GGCGGGGGGUAGGCGUUCGCUCGCAAGAGAGGAAAGUCCGAACACCCCAGGGCAGGACUCCGUCCGAAAGGGCGGGACGCGUUCCGCAAGGGGCGCGGACGGAAAGCGCAACAGAAAACAAACCGCCGCGCAAGCGGUAAGGGUGAAAAGGCGGGGUAAGAGCCCACCGCCGGCGGAGCAAUUCGUCCGGGCAAUGCAAGCCCAGUCCGGUGCAAGACAACAUAGGAGGCGGAGCGGCCCGCUCAAUCGCCUCGGGUAUGUCGCACCCGCGCAAGCGGGGCGCGGUUUUCUCCAAAGGAAGCCCGCGCAGAUAAAUGAACGCCGUCGCAAGACACAGAAUUCGGCUUAUUCCCCCCGCCCCAU
rnacentral:RNase_P_RNA from 1 species